rnacentral:rRNA from 1 species
GGGGAAUAUUGGGCAAUGGGCGAAAGCCUGACCCAGCGACGCCGCGUGGGUGAUGAAGGCCUUCGGGUUGUAAAGCCCUGUCAUGCGGAAAGAACGACCCUGAGACGCAUACUCUCAGGGAGUGACGGUACCGCAGGAGGAAGCACCGGCUAACUCCGUGCCAGCAGCCGCGGUAAUACGGAGGGUGCAAGCGUUGUUCGGAAUUAUUGGGCGUAAAGGGCGCGUAGGCGGUAAUGUAAGUCAGAUGUGAAAUACUCCGGCUCAACCAGAGAACAGCAUCUGAAACUGCAUAACUAGAGUACAGAAGAGGGAAACGGAAUUCCCGGUGUAGAGGUGAAAUUCGUAGAUAUCGGGAGGAACACCAGUGGCGAAGGCGGUUUCCUGGUCUGAUACUGACGCUGAGGCGCGAAAGCGUGGAGAGCAAACAG